GACGAACGCUGGCGGCGUGCUUAACACAUGCAAGUCGAGCGGUAAGGCCCUUUCGGGGUACGACGAGCGGCGAACGGGUGAGUAACACGUGGGUGACCUGCCCUCAGCUCUGGGAUAAGCCUGGAAAACUGGGUCUAAUACCGGAUAUGACUCCAUGACGCAUGUUGUGGGGUGGAAAGCCUUGUGCGGCUGAGGAUGGGCCCGCGGCCUAUCAGCUUGUUGGUGGGGUGAGGCCUACCAAGGCGACGACGGGUAGCCGGCCUGAGAGGGCGACCGGCCACACUGGGACUGAGACACGGCCCAGACUCCUACGGGAGGCAGCAGUGGGGAAUCUUGCGCAAUGGGCGAAAGCCUGACGCAGCGACGCCGCGUGAGGGAUGACGGCCUCGGUUGUAA
rnacentral:rRNA from 1 species